rnacentral:rRNA from 1 species
CUUGCUGUGGAUAAUUUGGCUAUUUUGAUGGAUAGAGCGUUUGAAGGGGGUUUGGUCUGUGGCCUGACCAAAAAUCAUAAAGAGAAUGAUGUUUGCAUUCUGCAAUAUGAUGACACUAUACUCCUCUUCCAAGAUGACUUGGAACAGGCUAGAAACAUCAAGAGAAUACUGGGCAUUUUUGAAAUCAUGCCAGGACUGAAAAUAAAUUUUCAUAAAAGUGAAGUAAUAUGUGUGGGCUUGGAGGAUGACGGAGCUAAACUUUUUGAAGAGAUUCUCACCUGCAAAAGAGGGGCACUCCCAUUUAAGUACCUUGGAAUCCCAGUCGAUGAUCGUAGAUUGAAGAAUAGUGAUUGGAAUCCUUCAGUUAACAAAACUGAGAAGAGAAUGGGGGGCUGGCUAGGGAGGUUUCUUAACAUGGCUGGACGUACGACCCUG